UACAGAGGUCGUCAAGCGUUGUUCGGAUUCAUUGGGCGUAAAGGGUGCGAGUAGGCGGCGCGGUAAGUCGGGUGGUGAAAUCUCGGAGCUUAACUCCGAAACUGCAUUCGAUACUGCCGUGCUUGAGGACUGGAGAAGGAGACUGGAAUUUACGGUGUAAGCGGUGAAAUGCGUAGAUAAUCGUAAGGAAGACCAGUGGC
rnacentral:rRNA from 1 species